UAACGCGUAGGUAACCUGCCUUGUAGCGGGGGAUAACUAUUGGAAACGAUAGCUAAUACCGCAUAACAAUGGGUGACUCAUGUCAUUUAUUUUGAAAGGGGGCAAAUGCUCCACUACAAGAUGGACCUGCGUUGUAUUAGCUAGUAGGUGAGGUAACGGCUCACCUAGGCGACGAUACAUAGCCGACCUGAGAGGGUGAUCGGCCACACUGGGACUGAGACACGGCCCAG
rnacentral:rRNA from 1 species